rnacentral:rRNA from 1 species
UAGGGAAUCUUCCACAAUGGACGCAAGUCUGAUGGAGCAACGCUGCGUGAGUGAAGAAGGUUUUCGGAUCGUAAAGCUCUGUUGUUGGUGAAGAAGGAUAGAGGCAGUAACUGGUCUUUAUUUGACGGUAAUCAACCAGAAAGUCACGGCUAACUACGUGCCAGCAGCCGCGGUAAUACGUAGGUGGCAAGCGUUGUCCGGAUUUAUUGGGCGUAAAGCGAGCGCAGGCGGAAUGAUAAGUCUGAUGUGAAAGCCCACGGCUCAACCGUGGAACUGCAUCGGAAACUGUCAUUCUUGAGUGCAGAAGAGGAGAGUGGAAUUCCAUGUGUAGCGGUGGAAUGCGUAGAUAUAUGGAAGAACACCAGUGGCGAAGGCGGCUCUCUGGUCUGCAACUGACGCUGAGGCUCGAAAGCAUGGGUAGCGAACAGG